rnacentral:lncRNA from 1 species
CUCCCUUGAUUCUUGGAUCUUAAGGAUGGGAAAUUGGAGGUCAUGGCACAAUUCAGCAGCAAGAGUAUUAGUGCAGCCCAGGUCCUGUGGUUUGGGCCAGGCAUCUCUCCAUUGCCAGAGGUUGCCUUCAGAAGUCUGAAUGGGACACAUAGCCCAUUUUCAGGCCUUGAGAAUUCCUGUGAGAAUUUCAAGCAAGCUUUUGUUUCAACAGCUCACAUGUGCAAGGGCCACCAAGAGUUUAGUAAUGUAAAUAGAUAACAUGUCAUCAUUUAGCCAAGGAAUCACAUUAUGAGCAUAUUCAAACCACAUUCAAAAGGACACCAGAUUUCCUUGAAACAUCUGUGGAUAAAGGAAGAAAAAUCAUGGUGGAUGUGUAGCCAGCCUCCAACAUGGGCUCCAAUGAUUCCUGCCUCUUGGUAUUCAAGUCCUUGUGCAGUUUCCUCCUACAAUGUAUCAUAAUUGGUCUUUGUGACCAAGAGAAUACAGCAGAAGUGAUGGCAUGUCACUUCUGAAGCUAGGUCAUAAAAGGUACUGUGGCUUUGUGGUAUAAUAAGAAAGACAUUCUAUCUUUGUCCAUAGUGCCUGGCACAGAACUCCUGUUGAGGAACCCCUGUUCCCUCAAACCCCUGGAACACCACACAGAGAACUAUCUCCAGGCCUGGACUUCCCCUGACUUGGAGACAGCCUUAUUCUCAGAUCUCUCUCUCUUUUAAAAUGGACUAUCCUCUUUACAACCCAGAGAGCCCCAUCCAAAUAUCACUCAUUGUGGAAGAAAUCUGAUGCCAUGUCUUGAGGACACUCAAGUGGCCUAUGGAGAGGCGAACAUAAAGACAAGAAACCCAAUCUCAAGCACUAUGAGACUCCCUCCUCUCCAUCUCCAAGGGUCAGGCCAUGGUCUUAGUCAUUGCCAAGAGCAUCACAGAAGGCCUCUGCCUCCGGUUCCUACCUGGGCCCUUUCUAUGCUCGUUAACUGAUGCUGCAGCCUGACUUCUUCAAGACUAAGUUGGGCUGUAUGCUUGCAGUCAUGGGAGGAAAACAAAAGAGGGUAUAAACACAAUGCAAUGCCUCGACACAUCACUCCAUCUCAGGGGGUCAGAAAAUAAAUUAAAUGUUAGGAAAAACAGAAAAGAAAUAAGCAACAUAGUGCCAGCCUUUGGGUUCUUAGACACUCAAAAGGAAACAGAAAGUACAGAAACAAUACACCAGGAAAUAAAAGAGGGCGUUUUUAGAAGUACCAUUUAAAUUGCAAGGGCUGCAGGAAUCAACAGAAGGAAAUAAUCGGGGCGAGGGGGAGGGGACUUAAUAAGAAUAAUAAUUAUAUAUAUUCCCUCAAAUUUGUAUGGAAUUUAUAAAUUACGAGGGACUUUUCGCACAUUUGUAACUUCAUUUUAGACACGCACAAUGAAAUUAAGUAAAAUGGGGUUGGCGGGACAGAUGGUAACAUCUUUAUUUUACAGAUGAGGAACUUGGACUCAGCUAGCUUUGGCGACUUGUUGAGAAAGUCAGAACCAGUUAGUUGUGGAAUAUAAAAUUGAGCUCGGCUCUCUUCCUACCUAGUCUUUUCUCUGCUCCGCUCCCACACUUCAGUGAGAGUUGCUUUCCUGAAGGAGUAAGUUCUAAAGCAGGAUUGGAAGUUCCUAUAGGGACAAAGAGAAGAGGCAUCCAUGAGUGGCAAGGAGUGUGAAAGGGAUGAAAAACACAUAGGAAGAAAUGGAGACAGGCAGAAGGUCCCAGCUACAGGACAGAAAAGCCAGGGUGUGGGCUUCUGAGAGAUGAUGCUGAGUGCAUGAGCUGGACUUGUGGAAUACAUACAGAAGAUGCCUCCAAUUACUGAGAGGUUAAGAAGAACAUUAUAUUGCCUCACAAAUCCUGUUUGUUACUGUAUAGAAUUGUAAGAAUUAUGGAAGAAACUGAAGGAAUUACUCCUCUAAAGCAGAUACUCCUGGAAAGUUACACAACUUGGCUAAUACUCUCCUGCUAGAGUUGGACAGGAAGACCUUACCAAAGCUGAAAGAUAAGAGAAACAUUUGUUUGGGCUGAGGCAGCUGUUUCAUGAAAUGCAACAUCAUAUCUCAUUUUUCUUCAUGAACUUCUCUCAUUUAACAAUUAGGCUGGAAGAACACACAUUACCAAUAGGUUCAGUCGUAUAACACUCAGAACCUGGAAAUAAUGAGUUGGAAGUUUCAGAUCCUACAAAAUAAAUCAGUUACUCCAUCAAUUCUAUAAUAUAAGGCAAAGAAUCUGAAAAUUGAAGGAAGAUAUUUUGAACAACACUGUGCAAAAGCUAUUGCUGAGUUAGGUAUUCAGUUAAGCCAAACACCACGCCUGGUUCUCAGUUUGUUUUGCAAAAGCAUUUAUUCUACAUUUUAAAUAUGCACAUGUUUCAACUUGGGCUAGAAAGACUUAACUAAAAAUAACACCACUAUCACCAAGUGAUGCUAUGGUUGACCGAUACUCCAGGAUUUGAAAAAAAAAUUCCCCAAAUGGUACAAAUUCCCCAAAUGCUACAAAUUCCCUAGGAACUGGAAGCUUUUCCUCUCCUUAAGGUGAAAGACUGCUUCUCCUCUUGGUGUUUUGCCAUUAAAAAAAGAAAGUAUUUAGCAAACAACUAGCAGAUCCAUCAAAAGGUUAGGAUUCUUUUUAUUUUAGUGCUCUUUCUUAAUGGGCAAAAUUGAUUGAUUAGUUCACCUGGAAUGUUCUUAGCCUUAGGGCAGAAACAGAGCUUUGUAUGCAUUAGUGGACUGGGUUUAUAAAAGAAAAAAGUCCACAUUCAAGAAUACAGAGAAUUUCAAAAAUACAAGAAAAUAGAAAAAAGAAAAACAAGGUCUGGAAGCAUAUUAAAAUUCUUGUAUUCAUUAAAAAUCAAAUGGCUGUGUUUUCAGUUGUAUUGAGUUAUCAUAUGUGCACUGGUUCUUU